rnacentral:rRNA from 1 species
CAGUCGCCGCGGGAAAACGGAGGGUGCAAGCGUUAUCCGGAUUCACUGGGUUUAAAGGGUGCGUAGGCGGAUCUGUAAGUCAGUGGUGAAAUCUCCAGGCUUAACCUGGAAACUGCCGUUGAUACUAUAGGUCUUGAAUUUUGUGGAGGUCAGCGGAAUAUGUCAUGUAGCGGUGAAAUGCAUAGAUAUGACAUAGAACACCAAUUGCGAAGGCAGCUGGCUACACAACUAUUGACGCUGAGGCACGAAAGCGUGGGGAUCAAACAGGAUUAGAUACCCGGGUAGUCCCUGUCUCUUAUAC